CCUUUUUAUAAAACUUAACGAAUUGGAUGUCAAAGCCUGAUCUUAUCAGAUCUCAGAAGCUAAGCAAGGCCAGGCUUGGUUAGUACUUGGAUGGGAGACCGCUGGGAAAAUCAGGAUCUACAGUGAGGC
rnacentral:rRNA from 1 species